rnacentral:rRNA from 1 species
GGUAAUGCCUACCAGGUUUGACGGUAGCCGCCUGAGAGGUGACCGGCACACUGGGACUAGACACGGCCCAGAUUCCUACGGGAGGCAGCAGUGGGAAUAUGGACAAUGGGCGAAGCCUGAUCCAGCAACGCCGCGUGAGGGAUGACGGCCUUCGGGUUGUAAACCUCUUUCAGUACCGACGAAGCGAAAGUGACGGUAGGUACAGAAGAAGCACCGGCCAACUACGUGCCAGCAGCCGCGGUAAUACGUAGGGUGCGAGCGUUGUCCGGAAUUAUUGGGCGUAAAGGGCUCGUAGGCGGUUUGUCGCGUCGGGAGUGAAAACACUGGGCUUAACUCAGUGCUUGCUUCCGAUACGGGCAGACUAGAGGUAUGCAGGGGAGAACGGAAUUCCUGGUGUAGCGGUGAAAUGCGCAGAUAUCAGGAGGAACACCGGUGGCGAAGGCGGUUCUCUGGGCAUUACCUGACGCUGAGGAGCGAAAGUGUGGGGAGCGAACAGGAUUAGAUACCCUGGUAGUCCACACCGUAAACGUUGGGCGCUAGGUGUGGGGUCCAUUCCACGGAUUCCGUGCCGCAGCUAACGCAUUAAGCGCCCCGCCUGGGGAGUACGGCCGCAAGGCUAAAACUCAAAGGAAUUGACGGGGGCCCGCACAAGCGGCGGAGCAUGCGGAUUAAUUCGAUGCAACGCGAAGAACCUUACCUGGGUUUGACAUACACCGGAAAGCCUCAGAGAUGAGGCCCCUUUUGUCGGUGUACAGGUGGUGCAUGGCUGUCGUCAGCUCGUGUCGUGAGAUGUUGGGUUAAGUCCCGCAACGAGCGCAACCCUCGUCCUAUGUUGCCAGCACGUUAUGGUGGGGACUCAUAGGAGACUGCCGGGGUCAACUCGGAGGAAGGUGGGGAUGACGUCAAGUCAUCAUGCCCCUUAUGUCCAGGGCUUCACGCAUGCUACAAUGGCCGGUACAAAGGGCUGCGAUGCUGUAAGGCGGAGCGAAUCCCAAAAAGCCGGU